AAAAAAGGUAAGCUACUAAGAGCGAAUGGUGGAUGCCUUGACUGGUAAAGGCGAUGAAGGACGUACUAGACUGCGAUAAGCUACGGGGAGCUGUCAAGAAGCUUUGAUCCGUAGAUUUCCGAAUGGGGCAACCCAAUGUAUAGAGAUAUACAUUACCUAUAUAGGAGCGAACGAGGGGAAUUGAAACAUCUUAGUACCCUCAGGAAAAGAAAUCAAUAGAGAUUGCGUCAGUAGCGGCGAGCGAAAGCGCAAGAGGGCAAACCCAGUGCUUGCACUGGGGGUUGUAGGACUGCAAUAUGCAAGAGGUAAGUUUAGCAGAACAUUCUGGAAAGUAUAACCAUAGAGGGUGAUAGUCCCGUAUGCGAAAAACAAAGCUUAGCUAGCAGUAUCCUGAGUAGGGCGGGACACGAGAAAUCCUGUCUGAAUCCGGGUCGACCACGAUCCAACCCUAAAUACUAAUACCAGAUCGAUAGUGCACAAGUACCGUGAGGGAAAGGUGAAAAGAACUGAGGUGAUCAGAGUGAAAUAGAACCUGAAACCAUUUGCUUACAAUCAUUCAGAGCACUAUGUAGCAAUACAGUGUGAUGGACUGCCUUUUGCAUAAUGAGCCUGCGAGUUGUGGUGUCUGGCAAGGUUAAGCAAACGCGAAGCCGUAGCGAAAGCGAGUCUGAAUAGGGCGCUUAGUCAGAUGCUGCAGACCCGAAACGAAGUGAUCUAUCCAUGAGCAAGUUGAAGCUAGUGUAAGAACUAGUGGAGGACUGAACCCAUAGGCGUUGAAAAGCCCCGGGAUGACUUGUGGAUAGGGGUGAAAGGCCAAUCAAACUUCGUGAUAGCUGGUUCUCUCCGAAAUAUAUUUAGGUAUAGCGUUGUGUCGUAAUAUAAGGGGGUAGAGCACUGAAUGGGCUAGGGCAUACACCAAUGUACCAAACCCUAUCAAACUCCGAAUACCUUAUAUGUAAUCACAGCAGUCAGGCGGCGAGUGAUAAAAUCCGUCGUCAAGAGGGAAACAACCCAG
rnacentral:rRNA from 1 species